UCCCGGCUCAGAGUUCUCCACCGCUCCUCCCAGGCUCACGAGGCUCAUGGGCUACCCAGCACCAGCCGCCCAGGAGGCUGGACCACAGGAUCUCGGCGCCCACCAGGCCUCAGUCCCGACUUCUUCCUGCUGCCCGGCAUGGGACCCUCCCCCAGGACAGCCACCUCCCGGUGCUGAAGAGCCGGCCCUCUGCAGAGCCGCCCGCCGUUCCUUUUUCCUAUGCAUAUACUUCUUUGAGGAUCUGGCCUAAAGAGGUAUAGGGCAUGGGAAAACGGGGCGGUCGGGUCCUCCCCAGUGGCACCUGCACCAGCGCACCUGCACCUGCCCCAGCAGCACCUGCCUCUUGACUUGGGACUCCGCCUGCUUCCUCUCUCCUUGGCCCGGGAGACCUGGGGCUUUGAUCCCCGUGUCCUUGGGGCAGAAAGGGGCCAAAUAUUCUAGAACAAGGAAAACAUGGAUGUGUGCUUUUGUGUGGGUUCUGGAAGUGUCUGAGGAGGACGUGGUCCAGGCCUCUGCCCUGGGUUGAUCUCUGCAGCCCCGGAGCUGGGACCCAGGAUGCAGAGAGGAGGGCUGGAGCUGGGCGGUGCUGUGACCAGUCUGACCGGAGAUGGGGUGGAUGCAUUACAGGAGGCGGCGGGAGGGACAGGCCUGGGCUCUGGAGCCGCCUGGUGGUCGGGGGAAGUGGGGCGGGGUGCCUGGGAUCUUUGCUCUGGCUGGGAGGAUCCACAACUCAUUCUUUGGACAUUUUCUUUGCAGACUACGAAGCUGCACCGUGUGGGGCCCACUUUUUACACAAGUGGGUGGCGGUGGAUCCAGGCGCACAGACGGGAGGCGUGGCGGAGACGCGUGCACGCUGGGUCUGUGCGCUUUUGCUGCUUUUUUUUUUGAGAUGGAGUCUCGCUCUGUCACCCAGGCUGGAGUGCAGUGGCAUGAUCUCUGCUCACUACAACCUCCAUCUCCCGGGUUUAAGCGACUUUCCUGUCUCAGCCUCCCAAGUAGCUGAGACAACGGGCGCCCGCCACCGCACCCGGCUAAUUUUUGUAUUUUUAGUAGAGAUAGGGUUUCACCUUGUUAGUCAGGCUGGUCUUGAACUCCUGACCUCAUGAUCCACCUCCCUCGGCCUCCCAAAGUGCUGGGAUUACAGGCGUGAGCCACGCGUCCGGCCGGCAGUUACUUCUUAACAACUUUAUUACUUUUGUAAUCAUGGGUAUGAGUUGAUUUUCUGGUCAGAAAUUUCAGUAGAGCUAAUUUCAUUUAAAUGUGUUAGAUGUGGUAAAGUUUUGACAAUAAAUACAAAUUUUGACAAAGCA